rnacentral:guide_RNA from 1 species
AUAGAACCAAAAACAGUGCAAUUUAGUGUGAUAGAUGAUAGUGUAAAA